CCCCUAAGAGUGAGGGGACUGCCAGGUAAACAAAUGAUUCCAGAAUAGUCCAGUGAGACACGCAAAGAGUCUGAACAGGGGGCCACCGGAAGCAACAACGCAGCGGGUAGGCUGAAGAUGUUUCUUAGAACCGGGCGUUUGAAAUGGGUUUGAAACCAGGUCCUGAAAAAGCUGGCCCAGAGUGGGCUGUCCCCGGUAUCACUUGAACUUUCCCAUUUUAAGCUGCCAACUAGGAGAACUGCCAACUGGGUCUCAAUUGGUACUGACCAGGAGGGUAGGCUUAGGCAUAGGGGUGCAAUUUGUUUUCCUGGUGAAAAGCAGGCUAACAAAGUAGCACUGCCAGGUUCUCGGUUUCCCGAAUCCCCUCCACAAACCCACGCGCGGAGACACUCGAGUUGGCCAACUCGGGGCAGGUUGGGACACCGGGAUCCCGCAAGUCUCCCUCCGGGUCCCGAUUGUCUCCGUCCCCCGCUCCGUC
rnacentral:lncRNA from 1 species